GCUACGGGAGGCAGCAGUGAGGAAUAUUGGUCAAUGGACGAGAGUCUGACCCAGCCAAGUAGCGUGAAGGAUGACUGCCCUAUGGGUUGUAACCUUCUUUUAUAAAGGAAUAAAACGAGGCACGUGUGCCUUUUUGCAUGGACUUUAUGAAUAAGGAUCGGCUAACUCCGUGCCAGCAGCUGCUGUAAUACGGAGGAUCCGAGCGUUAUCCGGAUUUAUUGUGUUUAAAGGGAGCGUAGAUGGGUUGUUAAGUCAGUUGUGAAAGUUUGCGGCUCAAACGUAAAAUUGCAAUUGAUACUGGCAGUCUUGAGUACAGUUGAGGUAGGCGGAAUUCGUGGUGUAGCGGUGAAAUGCUUAGAUAUCACGUAGAACCCCGAUGGCGAAGGCAGCUUACUAAACUGUGACUGACAUUGAUGCUCGAAAGUGUGGGUAUCAAACAGGAUUAGAUACCCGAGUAGUC
rnacentral:rRNA from 1 species